rnacentral:lncRNA from 1 species
UUCACCGUCCUAGGGUCUCUUAGGUCCAUCCUAAACUCUCUCUUUACUUGCUCUUAAUUGCUCUGAUACCACUUUAUCUGUCACGCCCCGCGACCACUACCAACUUGGCUCCGCCCGGGCGCGUCGAACAGACGCCGGACGGACAACACCUCCCCUGUCCGCCCAAGGCUAACAACGAGAUUGUGUACAACAAGUUCCCAGAAAAAUAACUUGAAUACAUACACAAUCGAUAACUACAACGAGAGCACAAUCAGUGCAAAACAACCAAGAGCAAGAUACAAGUAUAGAACAUACAAGUAAUGAUAAAGAGAGUAACAUCUAUCUAUUACAUUCAUUCAGCCUUUAUAAUACAAUUUGAUUAUACAUUAAGCUUCUAAACAUAAUAUAAAGCUUA